CCCUUAGAUGUUCUGGGCCGCACGCGCGCUACACUGACGAAUGCAACGAGCUUAUAACCUUGGCCGAAAGGUCUGGGUAAUCUCCAAAUUUCGUCGUGAUGGGGAUAGAUUAUUGCAAUUAUUAAUCUUCAACGAGGAAUUCCUAGUAAGCGCGAGUCAUCAGCUCGCGUUGAUUACGUCCCUGCCCUUUGUACACACCGCCCGUCGCUCCUACCGAUUGAAUGGUCCGGUGAAAUGUUCGGAUCGCGGCAAAUCGGACGGGUAACCGUCAGGUUCGCUGCGAGAAGUUCAUUAAACCUUAUCAUUUAGAGGAAGGAGAAGUCGUAACA
rnacentral:rRNA from 1 species